GACGAACGCUGGCGGCGUGCUUAACACAUGCAAGUCGAACGGGAUCCAAAGGCUUUUUGUUUUUGGUGAGAGUGGCGAACGGGUGAGUAACACGUGAGUAACCUGCCCCCUUCUUUUGGAUAACCGCAUGAAAGUGUGGCUAAUACAGGAUAUUCCAGGCUGGUCGCAUGAUUGGUUUGGGAAAUGGUUUGGUCUGGUGGGGGAUGGGCUCGCGGCCUAUCAGCUUGUUGGUGGGGUGAUGGCCUACCAAGGCGGUGACGGGUAGCCGGCCUGAGAGGGUGGGCGGUCACACUGGGACUGAGAUACGGCCCAGACUCCUACGGGAGGCAGCAGUGGGGGAUUUUGCACAAUGGGCGCAAGCCUGAUGCAGCGACGCCGCGUGAGGGAUGAAGGCCUUCGGGUUGUAAACCUCUUUCGCUGGGUUGAAAGGCCAUGCUUGGGGUGUGGUUGAUUUGAACUGGUAAAGAAGUACCGGCUAACUACGUG
rnacentral:rRNA from 1 species